rnacentral:lncRNA from 1 species
CAUCAUUUCAUCUCAUCCUUUCAUUUCAUCUCAUCGUUUCAUCUCCUCAUUUCAUCUCAUCUCACCUCAGCAUUUCAUUUCACCUCAUCAUUUCUUAUUUCAUCUCAUUUUAUCUCAUUUCAUCUCAUAUCUCAAUUCAAUUUCCUUUCAUUAUUUCAUCUCAUUCAUUUCAUCUCCUUUCAUUACAUCUCAUCAUUUCCUCUCAUCAUUACACCUCAUCUCAUCUCAUCAUUUCAUCAUUUCAUCUCAUCAUUGCAUCUCAUCAUUUCAUCUCAUUUCAUCUCAUCAUUCAUCUCGUCACUUCAUCUCAUCAUUUCCAUUUCAUUAUUUCAUUUCAUCAUUUAAUUUCAUCAUCUCAUUUAAUUUCACCUCAUUAUUUCAUUUUUUCAUUUCAUUAUGUCAUUUCAUUUCAUCUCAUUACAUUUCGUCUAAUUUCAUUUCAUCUCAUUUCAUCUCAUCAUUUCAUUUCAUCUCAUCUUUUCAUCUCAUCAUUUCAUCUUAUCAUUUCAUUUCAUCUCAUUACAUUUCGUCUAAUUUCAUUUCAUCUCAUUUCAUCUCAUCAUUUCAUUUCAUCUCAUCUUUUCAUCUCAUCAUUUCAUCUUAUCAUCUCAUCAACUCUUUUCAUCUUAUCAUUUCAUCAUUUCAUCUCAUCACUUCAUUUCAUCUCGUAUCUUCUCAGCUCAUUUCAAUUUCAUUUCAUUAUUUCAUUUCAUUAUUUCAUGUCAUCUCAUCUCAUCAUUUCAUCUCAUCACAUCUCAUCAUUUUAUCAUUUUAUUUCAUCAUCUCAUCAUUUCAUCUCAUCUCAUUUCAAUUUUAUUUAUUUAUUUCAAUUUCAUUUCAUUAUUUCAUUUCAUCUCAUCAGUUCAUCUCAUCAUUUCAUCUCAUCAUCUCAUCUCAUCUCAUCAUUUCAUCUCAUCAUUCAUCUCAUCAUUUCAUAUCAUUUUAUCUCAUCUCAUCAUUUCAUCUCAUUUCAUCAUUACAUUUCAUCUCAUUUUAUGUCAUCAUUUCAUGUCAUCAUUUCAUCACAUCUCAUCUCAUCAUUUCAUCUCAUCAUUUCAUCAUUUCAUCUCAUUUCAACUCAUUGCAUCUCAUCUCAUUUCCAUUUCAUUAUUCCAUUUCAUCAUUUCAUUAUGUCAUUUCACCUCAUCAUAUUUCAUCUCAUUUCAUCUCAUCAUUUCAUUUCAUCUCAUCAUUUCAUCUCAUUUUAUCUCAUCUCAUCUCAUCAUUUCUUCUCAUCUCAUCAUUUCAUCUCAUCAUUUCAUCUCAUUUUAUCUCAUCUCAUCUCAUCAUUUCUUCUCAUCUCAUCAUUUCCAUUUCAUUUUCAUUUCAUUAUUUCAUCAUUUCAUUAUUUCAUUUCAUCUCAUUUCAUUAUUUCAUUUCAUUAUGUCAUUUCAUUUCAUCUCAUUACAUUUCAUCUCAUUUCAUCUCAUCAUUUCAUC